UGUCUUUGACAUGAUAAUAAUAAUAAUGAUCUGGCUUAUCAGUGUAAACUCAUCAUUAAUUCAGAACCUUGAAAUCUUUCUUUCAUAUCCUUACAAGAAAAGCAAUUAAAGUGCAAAAUUGUAAGAACUUAGCAGGGAAAUGUUCAAACGGUUUAAUAAUUUUCCACGGGCCAUCAUUCAGCAUAUAUCAGGUUCUGCCAAGUAACAAUAAGCCAGACAACGACGUCAACCAACGAGAUCAUCAACCUUCAAAUCAAGCGACUCUGGCACCGAUUUGAUCUGGAGCUAUAUCUUCAUGACUCGCGAUCAUCAAACUUACUCGCAAUCUUAUUCUUUUGAUUAUUAUUCUAGAGAACUGUACAUAUGUAUGUAUUGCCUAUAUAUUUUUUCUUGACAUUUGCUGAUUUGAUUCCUUUGUAAAGUACUUGUGUUUUUUGGGACAGAAUGAUAACAAGAAGAACAGUCGAAUUAAAGGUUUUCGUGAAAACAUUUUGUAAGGCAAAAUAACAGCACUGACUUACAGUGCCAAAAAAUACCAACUCUCUAUUAUAUGAUUUUAUUGUAAAAUGUGAUUUAUAGUAACCAAAGUGAAUUACCAAAAGAGAAAGACAAGAAGAAAACUAAUUAAAACGAGACAAUUAGAUGAAGUUUAAUUGAAGAACCCAAUGAAGUCUUUGUUAACGAUUGGCCACACACAAACAGUCGACAAUUCACUGUAAAUCUCCAUUCAAAGUUCAAAUAUAGCUUUCGCAUAAAGGUUGGGGAGUAUUCGACUAGACUCAAAAUCACUCGCAAAAAACGAAUUUCAAGCUUACUGUGUAGAAAUUAAAAUGAUCUAUUUGAA